GACGUUGGAUGCAAGCGUUGUCCGGAAUCAUUGGGCGUAAAGAGUUCGUAGGUGGUAUAUCAAGUCUGGUGUUAAAUACCGAAGCUCAACUUCGGAACGGCACUGGAUACUGGUAAACUAGAGUGCAGUAGAGGCAAGGGGAAUUCCCAGUGUAGCGGUGAAAUGCGUAGAUAUUGGGAGGAACACCAGUGGCGUAAGCGCCUUGCUGGACUGUAACUGACGCUGAGGAACGAAAGCCAGGGGAGCAAAUGGG
rnacentral:rRNA from 1 species